rnacentral:rRNA from 1 species
UAGGGAAUCUUCGGCAAUGGACGAAAGUCUGACCGAGCAACGCCGCGUGAGUGAAGAAGGUUUUCGGAUCGUAAAACUCUGUUGUUAGAGAAGAACAAGGACGUUAGUAACUGAACGUCCCCUGACGGUAUCUAACCAGAACGCCACGGCUAACUACGUGCCAGCAGCCGCGGUAAUACGUAGGUGGCAAGCGUUGUCCGGAUUUAUUGGGCGUAAAGCGAGCGCAGGCGGUUUCUUAAGUCUGAUGUGAAAGCCCCCGGCUCAACCGGGGAGGGUCAUUGGAAACUGGGAGACUUGAGUGCAGAAGAGGAGGGUGGAAUUCCAUGUGUAGCGGUGAAAUGCGUAGAUAUAUGGAGGAACACCAGUGGCGAAGGCGGCUCACUAGUCUGUAACUGACGCUGAGGCUCGAAAGCGUGGGGAGCAAACAGG